AGAGAGAGACAUGCGCGCAUAUCAAUAAGCGGAGGAAAAGAAACUAACAAGGAUUCCCUUAGUAACGGCGAGUGAAGCGGGAAGAGCUCAAAUUUGAAAUCUUCAAGGUUUUACCUUGACGAAUUGUAGUUUAAAGAAGUGUUUUCUGCUGAAGUUUUGGUAAAAGUUCUUUGGAAUAGGACAUCAUAGAGGGUGAGAAUCCCGUAUUUGACCAUUAUUUUCAGCUUUGUGAUACACUUUCAAAGAGUCGGAUUGUUUGGGAAUGCAGUCCAAAAUGGGUGGUAAAUUUCAUCUAAAGCUAAAUAUUGGCGAGAGACCGAUAGCGAACAAGUACCGUGAGGGAAAGAUGAAAAGAACUUUGAAAAGAGAGUUAAACAGUACGUGAAAUUGUCAAAAGGGAAGCGUUUGACACCAGUGUUGUUUUCUCGAAAAUCAAUUAAAAAUGGCUCGAUUUUGUAUUGUUGAGACCUUAAAAGCUCACUGUACAUUUUUCGUGUCUUUUUUAAUGCACUUUUCGUUUAACAAGUCAACAUCAGUUUCUUUUGUUGUAAAAGGGUCAUUGGAAGGUGGCUUUCUUUUCGGAGAAAGUGUUUAUAGCCUUUGGCCUCUGCAAUCGGAGAGAUUGAGGUCUGCAGCGUAGACUCCUUCGGGGUUAGAUACAUUUGUGCUAAGUUAUAGCCUUUUCAUAGACAACUUGUUGACUAUAAUCAGUCAUGUAGCUUACUCGCUUAUGCUAUUUUACCUACGCUUAGGAUGUUGAGUCGUAGAGCACGCAG
rnacentral:rRNA from 1 species